AUGAGCUUGUGCACAGCUGCCUAUGCAACAUACUGCAGUCCUGAUGAGCUCUCUUCCCGCCGGCCGCUCCAAUCCCAAACGGUUCCUAAUCUUGUGGCUGGCUCUCGAGCUUUUGAAAACGCUCUUCUAGGUUCUCUGACCUGAAGUUUAUGGAUCUAGGCUCAUUCAUCGGUCCCGACAGGAGACUCCAUCACUACUGAAAAACUCAUAUAUGAAUGGCAAGCAAAUGUAGUCAAGUUUUCCUGCAAUUCAAAGAGAGAAAGUUUCCUAUUCCAUUAUUUGCAGCUCUCAUUAGGAAGCAUCUAAUUCAAAAGAGGGUCCCUAGUUUUGUGUGGGGAACCCGUUCCUCUUUAGUCCUCUCAGGAUAAACAUCCAAAAUUGCCAUCUAUGAACUUGUUAAAGACACAGAGCAUCAACUGAACAGCACUGGACUGCACCUUGGGGCUAAUUAAAGCUUCCUAGAUAACCGCAGUCCCCGUCCCCCAGCUCAAACGAUAGUCUUGACCAGCAGGGGAUGGAAAAGAGAAAGACAACCACUGCACCCUGGA